GCAACCAAACUUCACCUGGAUACGCGUCGCCGAACGAUUGGCUCAUUCUUAGAAGUCAACGCAUUGCCUGCCAGGCCUAUGCUAUUCCAGCACCACCAAAUUAAUUAUCGCAUUGAUCGUCGUCACCACGCUCGACGUACCGUGUGUGGGAAAAGGCUGGACCCACAUAAUUUACUCUCGGGAUCCAAGGGGUUACCUCUGCCUGUCAUGUAUCCCUACCGAAGCGUACAGUCACAGGUACGUGACCCGAGCCAUGCCUGUUAAAGAAAUAGACAUAAAAGAUCUGGGGCACUCCUAGUGUGAACCUAACGAACCAAAAGCGAACGCGUCAUGAAACGGAUGGAGAUAGUGCAACGUGGCGAGCGGUGAUUUGAUGGUGUUUGGGAUGAAACAUUACGCUGGAUGCAGCAUAGUAUUGCAGAAAAUAUAAGGUCGUAUGUGGUGGGGAGAAAGAAACAAAAGGAAAUAAUGUGUUAAGGUUCACUUCUCUUUCCUCUGUCUUCUUCUCUUUCUGAAAAACUCUGUCUUCGAUUUUAACUCUUUCUUCCCCGUUCUCUGUUUUCUGCAGCUGAGUGAAUAACCAUAUAUAUAUAUAUACAGCUGCAUAUACAUAUAUAUAGAGAGAGAUAUAAAUCUUAUAUAUAUACAUAUAUUUAGAUAGAGAGAGAGAGAGAGGAGAGGAGAGAAAGGCAUGGGGUGUUUCCCUUGCACUAGAUACUCAUCCAUUGAUAAGAAGCAAUACAAAAAGAGUAAGAGCAACAGCAGUCAGCGGUUGAGAAGAGAUGAUGAUCAUGCGCAGAGAUCAUCAGAUUUUUCAAAAUCGAGCUCGCUCAAAUCUAGGAAGGAGGAGCAUAAAUUUCUGUCUCGCU